rnacentral:piRNA from 1 species
UACUGAUGGGUAGACUAUACCACCCCAC